rnacentral:rRNA from 1 species
ACUUGGUGUGGUUGUUGCUGGCCCUCUUGGGGGCAUGUGCACGCCCGCCAUCCUCAUCUCUCCACCUGUGCACCUCUUGUAGACCUGGAUAGACUUUUCGAGGCAACUCGGUUGGGAAGAUUGCUGCGCUCUCUGAGCCAGCUUUCUUUGCAUGUCCAGGCCUAUGUUUUUCAUAUACCCUAUAGAAUGUAACAGAAUGUAUCAUUGGGCCUUGUGCCUAUAAACCUUAUACAACUUUCAGCAACGGAUCUCUUGGCUCUCGCAUCGAUGAAGAACGCAGCGAAAUGCGAUAAGUAAUGUGAAUUGCAGAAUUCAGUGAAUCAUCGAAUCUUUGAACGCACCUUGCGCUCCUUGGUAUUCCGAGGAGCAUGCCUGUUUGAGUGUCAUUAAAUUCUCAACCUUAUUAGCUUUUGUUGAUAAUGGAUUGGAUUUGGGGGUUUCUUUUGCUGGCUUCUUCACAGAGAUCAGCUCCCCUUAAAUGCAUUAGCUGGUGCCCCGCGUGGACCAUCUAUUGGUGUGAUAAUUAUCUACGCCGUGGAUGUCUGCAAUCAUAUGGGUUUUGCACUGCUUCUAACCGUCUGUUCAUUCGGACAAUACAUGACAAUUUGACCUCAAAUCAGGUAGGACUACCCGCUGAACUUAAGCAUAUCAAUAAGCGGAGGAAAAGAAACUAACAAGGAUUCCCCUAGUAACUGCGAGUGAAGCGGGAAAAGCUCAAUUUAAAAUCUGGCGGUCUCCGGUCGUCCGAGUUGUAAUCUAGAGAAGUGUUAUCCGCGCUGGACCGUGUACAA